UACGAGGGGGGCGAGCGUUGUUCGGAAUUAUUGGGCGUAAAGGGUGCGUAGGCGGUUUGAUAAGUCUGAUGUGAAAUCUAUGGGCUCAACCCAUAGCCUGCAUUAGAAACUGUCGGGCUUGAGUAUGGGAGAGGUGAGUGGAAUUUCCGGUGUAGCGGUGAAAUGCGUAGAUAUCGGAAAGGAACACCUGUGGCGAAAGCGGCUCACUGACCAUUCUGACGCUGAUGCACGAAAGCUAGGGGAGCAAACAGG
rnacentral:rRNA from 1 species